UAGUUCAUCUUUUUCUUGACUGCUUGUACUUCGAGAAGUGACCUCUGUUUCAACGUUCUUUUUUAUUUCACCAUCAGGCUUGGCUGCUUUAUCCUCACUUUCUAUUACCGCUAAAUCCUCCUUCUCAGGCUUCUCCGCAACCGACUCAUCUACAGAAUUUUUAACGACAUUUUCAGAUGUUUCCGGAGACUGAGUAGAAGCAUCGCCGGUGGAUGCCUCAGCACCUUCAGCUGAAACUACAUUCGAAGCAGAAAUAUCCUCAGUGUUUUCAACUACUUGAGUAUUGUCAUUGCCUGUAGGCUCAUUUACUUGAUUAUUGCCAUCAUUAGAUUCGCGGUCAACAUUAUCUUCGGCAACUGAAUUUUUAGAUUUAGCUUGGCGUUUUUUCUUCUUGACCUCCAGCAACUAGCACUCGUAAGUUAAAUGUUACAAAAUAUUAUGCAUACCCUUUGUUUAGCUGCAGCUAGCUUUUCUUCACGAUCUGACAUCUUCAAAUUUGAUACAAGAUGAAAAUAAAUCAACAGGGAGUUGUAGUGUGGGCAGAAUCAGUAAAGUAUAGGUAAGUAGGGAAAGUUUGCGUGAGGCUUAACAAGUCCACGGAUAACCAAGCAUACUAAAUAAAGUAGAAACAUAAAUAUAAUAUAUAUUUGAUGAAUGAAAAACUUAAAAAAAUGGAUUCAUAUUUUUUAUACGCUAGAGAGUAUAGGUAUAUUUUAUUACGCUGAUUCGGUUUGAAAAUGAAGGAAGAUACUCUCCAAAGUUAAUGCAAGAGCAGAAUCCUUUCAUUAGUUUUUAAAGAUUACUAUGUGUAUGAUAAUAUUACUGUUUAAAGAGCAAAAGAAAGUAAAUACAACCUUUGUUUUCAAGAUCGAUUCCGUGAAUAAUAAAAAUCAACGUUGGCAACGCUUACAGUUCUUUACAACUUCAAACGGAUUAAAUAAUCCGGUUUAUUAAAAGACUCAACUAGCUUUGACUAUGCCUAUACUAAUGAGUUUUUAAUCGAUCAAUAU